AGCUCUGUGGGAUCAGUGGCGAACGGGUGAGUAACACGUGAGCAACCUGCCCCUGACUCUGGGAUAAGCGCUGGAAACGGCGUCUAAUACUGGAUAUGUGACGUGACCGCAUGGUCUGCGUCUGGAAAGAAUUUCGGUUGGGGAUGGGCUCGCGGCCUAUCAGCUUGUUGGUGAGGUAAUGGCUCACCAAGGCGUCGACGGGUAGCCGGCCUGAGAGGGUGACCGGCCACACUGGGACUGAGACACGGCCCAGACUCCUACGGGAGGCAGCAGUGGGGAAUAUUGCACAAUGGGCGCAAGCCUGAUGCAGCAACGCCGCGUGAGGGACGACGGCCUUCGGGUUGUAAACCUCUUUUAGCAGGGAAGAAGCGAAAGUGACGGUACCUGCAGAAAAAGCGCCGGCUAACUACGUGCCAGCAGCCGCGGUAAU
rnacentral:rRNA from 1 species